UCAUGAGAGAAGGAAAACAUGAAUAGAAAAGCAAAGAGCUUGGCUCUGUGAAGUCAAGAAAAGUGAAACAUAGAAAUGAGAAAAUAACUAUGAGCUUUAUAAAAGUGAUCACCUAUGCAUUAUGCUUGUGCAUAUGGCCAUCCUGAUAUAGUGACCAUCCUACUACGCUGGAAUUGCGACAUUGAGCUCCGUGACAGUUACAAAAGCACAACACUAAUU